CAGUCUCGCGUUGACGUGUCAAGUGUUUCCCAGUUUGCGGUUCGCCUGCUUUUCCUUCCACAAAAUUUCGUUCACCCCAUCCCCGUUCAUCAAAUCAUCCAUGACGGGCAGGGGAUUAUUCACAUUGUGAUCGCACUAUCAUUGUCGAUGUUGUUUUUAUUUCGUUUAUUUUUUUUUUUUGUUCAGUCAAAAAGAGCGAAUCACAAAAAAUAGUCCGAACCUGACCCAUCCAACUGUUGCGAUCCGCACCGUGGCGACCAUAUUCUUGCAGAAGUACACCCAACACAUUUUUCUCACACCACCUUUCAUCAAAUUUGCACCAUAACGCGAGGACUGCCCAGCUACUCCAACCAUCCACAGUCAACAACCAUCGAACAAACCGCCAGCUUGUAGCGCACCAAACAGGUUGCCAAUUCCAAGAAACGACCAACCAACCGGAGAAAGACUGCAACCGAAGCAAAGAAACGAUCAUCACGAGAGAACACGCCAAGGGAGGUGCAGAA